AAGUAAAAAAUUAUUAAUUUUAAUUUUUUUUUUUGUUAAUUAAUAUAAGUAAAUUUAAUUUUAUAUUUUUUUGUAUAGUUUAUAGAUUAAAUAAUUUUUAUAAUAGUAAAAUAGUAUUGUGGAAGAAAUUUGAAAAAUUAUUUAUUUAUUUGAAAGUAAAAUUUAAUUUUUGUACCUUUUGUAUCAGGGUUUAUUAAUUAAGAAUUAAUGAUUUAAUAUUCUCGAAUUAAAAGGAGCUAAUGAAUUAUGAUAGUUUUUGUUUUAUAACAAUUAUUAAUUAUUUAUUAGAAAUGAAAUGUUAUUCGUCUUUUAAGAUAUCUAGUUUUUUAAGAAAUAAAUUUAAUUUAUAUAUUAUUUAGAUAAUUAUUUUAUUUGCUAAUUAAUUAUUAUUUAAUAUAAAUAUAUUAAGGGAUAAGCUUUAAUAUAGUGAUUAUAAUUUUAUUAUUAUAUUAUUAAUUGUAGAUUUAGAAAUGGUUAACAAUAAAAAUUUUGUAUUAAUUUAUAUGAAUAAUUAUAAUAUUUUAAAAAAUUUAAUUUAAGUAUUAAAAUGUAAAUUUGAAUAAUAAAAAUUUAGUAAUAAUGAUGAAAUUAGUAUAUAAGUGAAGUUUGAAUGAAGAUAUUUAUUAAGAUUAAUAUAAGGAAUUCGGCAAAAUAGUAUUCACCUGUUUAACAAAAACAUGUCUUUUAGAUAAUAAUUUAAAGUCUGGCCUGCCCACUGAAUAUAAUUUUAAAGGGCCGCGGUAUUUUGACUGUGCAAAGGUAGCAUAAUCAUUAGUCUUUUAAUUGAAGGCUUGUAUGAAUGGUUGGAUGAAAUAUUAACUGUCUCGUGUUAAUAAGAUAGAAUUUAAUUUUUAAGUUAAAAAGCUUAAAUAUGAUUAGAGGACGAGAAGACCCUAUAGAUUUUUAUAAUUUUUUAUUUAUAAAUAAUUUAGUUGAGAGAAAUUUUUAAUUAAGAAAUUAUUUUAUUGGGGUGAUAAAUAAAUUUAAUAAACUUUAUAAAAUAUAAACAUUAAUGUAUGAAUUUUUGAUCCAUUUUUAGUGAUUAUAAGAUUAAAUUACCUUAGGGAUAACAGCGUAAUUUUUUUAGAGAGUUCAUAUCGAUAAAAAAGUUUGCGACCUCGAUGUUGAAUUAAAGAUUAAUUUAGGUGUAGAAGUUUAAAUUUUUGGUCUGUUCGACCAUUGAAUCUUUACAUGAUUUGAGUUCAAACCGGCGUGAGCCAGGUUGGUUUCUAUCCUUAAUAAAUGAAGAUAUUUUAGUACGAAAGGACCAAAUAUUUGGAAAAAUUUUUAUGUUUAAGAAUAAUAUUAAUU
rnacentral:rRNA from 1 species